UAAUACGUAGGGGGCAAGCGUUGUCCGGAUUUAUUGGGCGUAAAGAGCGUGUAGGCGGCCAGAUAGGUCGGUUGUGAAAACUGGAGGCUCAACCUCUAGACGUCGACCGAAACCAUUUGGCUAGAGUCCGGAAGAGGAGAGUGGAAUUCCUGGUGUAGCGGUGGAAUGCGCAGAUAUCAGGAAGAACACCCGUGGCGAAGGCGGCUCUCUGGGACGGUACUGACGCUGAGACGCGAAAGCGUGGGGAGCGAACAGGAUUAGAU
rnacentral:rRNA from 1 species